rnacentral:rRNA from 1 species
CAGCUAAUACCUGGUGCGGAUGACGGUACCGGCAUAAGAAGCACCGGCUAACUACGUGCCAGCAGCCGCGGUAAUACGUAGGGUGCGAGCGUUAAUCGGAAUUACUGGGCGUAAAGCGUGCGCAGGCGGUUUUGUAAGACAGGCGUGAAAUCCCCGGGCUCAACCUGGGAACUGCGUUUGUGACUGCAAGGCUAGAGUACGGCAGAGGGGGGUGGAAUUCCACGUGUAGCAGUGAAAUGCGUAGAGAUGUGGAGGAACACCAAUGGCGAAGGCAGCCCCCUGGGUCGAUACUGACGCUCAUGCACGAAAGCGUGGGUAGCAAACAGGAUUAGAUACCCUGGUAGUCCACGCCCUAAACGAUGUCAACUAGGUGUUGGGUGGGUAAAAACCAUUUAGUACCGGAGCUAACGCGUGAAGUUGACCGCCUGGGGGAGUACGGCCGCAAGGUUAAAACUCAAAGGAAUUGACGGG